rnacentral:lncRNA from 1 species
AAACAAAAUCUCUUUCCUUCUUACAUUUAAAGGUCUUCUACCUUUAAAUUGUUCUCCUACAUGGUGCGUUCAAAGUUCACGCUUUCUUCUGAUUUCUCUAUUCUAUUUCGUUCUCUUAAAACUUCUUCAUCUUUCACUGUAUAAUCUGCAAGAGAACAAAGAGUAGAUAAGUAACUUAACAGGAUUCAACAACGUUAGUUCUAUUUACUCUGUCAUAAUAAUGGUGUCCUUUCCGGUUUGUCCCAAAAUAGAUACUCAUAUUAAAGAGGAAAGUUCCUCCCUCAACAUUUAAACUGGUGCCAAAUACAUAUUAUAUUAUAUUGUUUCAAACUUAAAAUGACAUCUUACCAACUAACAUUUAAUUUUUUCAUAUUUGAAACAUUAUGUUUAACACUUCCAAACAGAUCCCACCAAACUCCAUAAGACAACCUAUCCAAACAUCUCUCUCAAUAACAACAAAAUAUGUAUCUUUAAUGGGACAUAUCCAUGAGGACUUUAAUUUAGUAGCCAUAUUAGUUAUUACUUAGUUGUUGAAGAAAUAGAUGAUAUCAUUAUUUACAGAGAAAAAGUUGAGAAAGAAAUUUAAUGCUUUAGCACAAGUGCACAAACUCAGGCAGAUCAACAAGUGGAGCAGGUAUUCACAAGAGAGUAUUCUGUGGUCCAAAAGAAGUGUCCAUUUACGUAAUCAAGAAGGAAUAAUUUUAUUUUUCCAAAAUUUGCCUUAUUUACAUAUUCCAAUGUGCCAAGGUAUCAAUUAAUUUAGUGAAUACAUCUUUUUUCUCUAGGAGUUCAUAUUUCCUUAAUGGGUGUGCCAAAGGUAAAAUAGUCACUUAUUGUGGACAGUAAGGAGAAAUACUUAAGUCAUGUUCCAAAACAUUGAAUUCAAGAACAGAAUUCAAAGGACUAAAGUGGUACAAUGCCAUAAGAAAGGAAAGAACAAGAAAAUUGCUAAGCUAAGAAACAAAACAAAAACAAAGUGAUACCUUUUCCAGAAGUUGACUGGGAUCAUGUUGUCCUCUGCGAUAAGCAAGUAGUUGAUAUAAUUCGAACAACUGGCCCUAGAGGAAAAGCUUAGCAUGAACACACCCGGUGCAAUGUAGACAAUGUUCAAAUACUCAAAUCCUCACUAAGUAGCAUUGAUAUGUGUGUUUCUUCCUUUUAUGGAGGAUUAAUAUUCAACAAUAUCCCUGCAUGUAUGAUAUUCUUCCCAUCCUAACAAGCCAAUAUAAAUGCAAGCAAUCUCUUUAUUGCACAAGAAACUACACCAUUUCGUCACAAGGUUGAAUGCUUGUUUUUUCUUUAUUUGCUUGUCCCCACCAAGUACACUUUGGUACAGAAAACUCUCUUCAUUCUAUUUUUAACUGAUUCACUUUUGCAUCAAUGAGAUAAGGAAGUUUCAAUUGGUUAUCAUAUGCCUAAUUCAUAUAAUAGUUAAUUUUCCUUCUUCAGAAAGCAUUAUUAUUUACCAAAUAAUAAAUUGUGUAAUAUUAGUUAGUUCCUAAAAGUACACCAUAAAAUAUUAGUUCCGGGAGUGCACAGGCCCUCGGCAAGGAAUUUUCCCCAAGUGCACCACGGUUAAUUCAGACUUUACCCAGUCUGAUGGCCCUCAGAAAUUGUUUGCACCCAGUGAGUUUCGAACUUGACUUUGAAAAGGAGCAAACCCCAAGGCUCAAGUCAAUUACCACCGGGCCAACCCGUGAGUGUUAUACCAUAAACCAUUAGUUAAUUCAUAUAGCCCCUAUUGGUAUAGAAGAUUGAGCGUCUUUUGUAGAGAAUCAUGUUUGAUGUAAAUUCUCUACUUUUUGGUAUACUUCUUGUAUACGGAAGUUUUCUCCCUUUUGAUUAAUACAAUUUACCUUAUCAAAAAAAAAAGUACACCAUAAAAAUAUCAUUCUUGAGGAUGGUGAAUGUGCCCCUUAAGUAGGUUGGAUAAACUAAAAGUGAGUAGCAUAUACUCUACUACAUCUAUCAAGAAAUUAAAAUCUAUUUGUAGCAUUAGUUUCUGCAAACCCAUCUAGCAACUGCACACAGCUAGCCAUAAGCUUAUUGACUUCAUCAUUACUUCAACAAUGCAUAAAAGCAGAGAGGUUAUAAGGAAAACUGCAGCAAUCACUCCUCUUGAUGAUUUACACGGAACUAUGCUGUCCACGGACUUCUAUGUUCUUAACUACAUCAAAAGUGCCAGUGUAGGCUUUUGCAAAUAUUAUCAUAAUUUAAUCUUUUUAACUUAAUAUCUAGUCAUAUAUUAGUCUUACCUACAACAAAAGUGCCAGUGUAGGCUUUUGCGAAUAUUAUCAUAAUUUAACGUUUUAACUUAAUAUCUAGUCAUAUAUUAGUCUUACUUACGAGUGCCUCCAUCUAAUUCUUUUUCAGCUAAUUUCUGUUUUCAUUUAAGUUCAGUAAUUCGUGAUAACUCGAGCAACUAAUAAGUCCUAUUUCUCCUUGUCCAUGACCUACAAGUCCUAUCUUUUUUUCAUAAAGUAAGAGAUAUUAUAAAUGGCAUCAAGAAGAUGCAGAAAUAUAGAUAUAAAAGAUUUGUUAGCUCCAGUACAAAGAGUCCUAUACCAAUGUUAAAGAGCUAACAAAGUCCAAAAAAUAGUCAGGGGAGUUUACAGGUGUUUAGGUGCUCCAAAGCUACAAGUCCUAUGAUAACAUAUUUUAGACUUCUCUUAAUAAUACAACUCUGGCAUACUAUUGCUUAUUCAAGCUUAUUGGUGUCUCCCAAAGUUCACUUUUAAUGUCUAAACGAAAAGCUCUUGAGCACACUUAUCACCAUUAAUCCCUUUUC